ACGGAAGGCAGCAGUGAGGAAUAUUGGUCAAUGGGCGGAAGCCUGAACCAGCCAUGCCGCGUGCAGGAAUAAGGCCCUAUGGGUCGUAAACUGCUUUUGCCUGGGAGCAAUAAGGUCUACGUGUAGGCCGAUGAGAGUACCAGGCGAAUAAGCAUCGGCUAACUCCGUGCCAGCAGCCGCGGUAAUACGGAGGAUGCGAGCGUUAUCCGGAUUUAUUGGGUUUAAAGGGUGCGUAGGCUGUUCGUCAAGUCAGCGGUGAAAUGCCGGGGCUCAACCCCGGAGCUGCCGUUGAUACUGUCGGGCUUGAAUACUGUUGCCGUGGGAGGAAUGAGUAGUGUAGCGGUGAAAUGCAUAGAUAUUACUCAGAACACCGAUUGCGAAGGCAUCUCACGAAGCAGCGAUUGACGCUGAGGCACGAAAGCGUGGGGAUCAAACAGGAUUAGAUACCCUGGUA
rnacentral:rRNA from 1 species